AGUUUAAGAGGCUAAGAACUGAUGUGAUAUCUUUGUCGCCUUUGUGUUUCAGAUCAAUGCAGAAUUUCUGUACUGUAUUUCUGGUACUGAAAUUUAUUUCUGUGUUAUACCGUCACACUCCCAAGCUACUGACGCUAUUUCGUGCCAAAGAUGGAGCACUUGGAAGAAGACUGGAGAUCAUAAUGGAACUGCUGCAGUUGGUGAAUUCCUCCCCAGCACUCUUCGAUUGAGAGGACCAGAGAGGUUGUUCGUCGGUAUCUUAUAGAAUACCUUGGAGAACAAGGGGGACAUCUUAUCAAAGAAUUCAACGACACUGAGAACUUGGAGGAACUUGAACAGCUCAUUAUGGCCAUUACUGUGAACCCAAAGCCUGGAGCUUCUACAAGCAACAGCCCGAAGAUCAUUGGGAUCAUCAUAGAGGGCGUGGAACUCAUCACAGGACUUGGAGAUAUUGCAAGGGCUUGCUCUGUCCUCCUUGGCUUGACCUAUGCGCUGAAUCUAGAUUAUCCCAGACAGCUGAAGUACACCUUUGAGGUGUUCCAAAUUUUUUUCUUGGAACUGGAUGAUUCAAAGCUUUCAAACAAAGUCCAGUCCCUCAAGAGCAAACUUCAGGCUUGAAAUGAGACUGUAUUGCAGUGCAGACUUUUGUGCUACACAAUGUUUAUCUUCUACAGGGCUUGAGAAUUGCACAUUUGAAAGUGCUAUGUUUGUAAGUUGGCACUGAUUUGUCCCAAAAAAGUCAUACAUUUCAAUUGUUGUAAAUUCAAAGUACAAAUUUAUUUUACUCUGUUCAGUUUGCACUUUUAUUAUUUAUGUUUUGGCACAUGCCAUUAUGGAGUAUUUUUCUUUAAGAUCUUUAUUGCUCCUUUUUUUUUAAGUUGAAGUCAGCAUUUUGUCCUUUUCAAAGUUCUGCAAAAGUUUGAUUGCGUGAGCAAACUUCUGGCUUGAAAAUGAGACUGUGGUUGCAGUGUACAUGUUUUGCUACACAAUGUUUAGCUUCAACAGGGCUUGGGAAUUGCACAUCUGAUAGUGUUAUGUUUGUAAGUUAGCACUGAUUUGGACUCUUAUACCAUGAAUCAGUGAGAUUUCUAGUUCAAAGUACAAAAUGUUUAUUACUCUGUACAAAUUACACUUUUCUGCUUUUUUUUUUUUUGGUACAUGCACCUCUGGAGGAUUUUCCAUAAAGAUCAUUAUUGACCCAAUUUAGUGGGGUGUGAGGUGAGAAAGCAUGGAAACAGGUUUAUGGACACAUCACCAUUCUGUAUGUCAUUUAUUUUUGUUUUUACAAAAUAGUUUAAAGUCAGCAUUCUGUCCUUUUCAAAUGUCUGGUUUGAAAUGCAAGAUCCAACUUCUGGCUUGAAAUGAGACUGUGGUUG